GCGCUCGCUUCAGCAACACAACUACCAAAAUUGAAAUGAUACAGAGAAGAUUAGCACGCCCCUGUGCAAGGAUGACACACAGAUUUGUGAAGCGGUCCAUAUUUUU